UUACACCCAAGCGUGAAUUUUGAAGCUCAGAAGCUUCCGUACAGUCCGACAUAAGGCGGCGAGGAAGGAUCCUGGGACUAUGGCUUUCCCUGAGCCAAAGCCGCGGGCACCGGAGCUGCCGCAGAAGCGGUUGAAGACUCUGGACUGCGCGCAAGGGGCAGUGCGAGCCGUGCGAUUUAAUGUGGAUGGCAAUUACUGCCUGACGUGCGGCAGCGACAAGACUCUGAAGCUGUGGAACCCGCUUCGGGGGACACUGCUGCGGACGUACAGCGGCCACGGCUACGAGGUGUUGGACGCGGCCGGCUCCUUUGACAACAGUAGUCUCUGCUCUGGCGGCGGGGACAAGGCGGUGGUGCUGUGGGAUGUGGCAUCGGGACAGGUCGUGCGCAAAUUCCGGGGCCACGCGGGGAAGGUGAACACCGUGCAGUUUAAUGAAGAGGCCACAGUCAUCCUGUCCGGCUCUAUCGAUUCCAGCAUCCGCUGCUGGGACUGCCGCUCAAGAAGACCUGAGCCAGUGCAGACAUUGGAUGAGGCCAGGGAUGGUGUAUCAAGCGUGAAGGUAUCAGACCAUGAGGUCCUGGCAGGUUCCGUGGACGGCCGCAUAAGGCGCUAUGACCUCAGGAUGGGGCAACUCUUCUCAGACUACGUGGGCAGCCCCAUCACCUGCACCUGCUUCAGCCGGGAUGGGCAGUGCACCCUGGUGUCCAGCCUGGAUUCCACACUGAGGCUUCUAGACAAAGACACGGGCGAACUGCUAG